AUUUCCUUUUUUAUGUAGAAUAUUGUGGCCGACUUUUUCGUGUUCCAAUUAACAGCAAGGAAUUCGAAACUCGCAUCAAACAAGAUGCCACGUUAAGGUUGGAAUUUGUUAAAAAGGUGCAAGCUAAGAUUGCAGAAAAUGAUCCCAAAUUUCUCAGUUUUGAAAUAAUUAGGGAAGGAGA